UACGUAGGGGGCGAGCGUUGUCCGGAGUUACUGGGCGUAAAGGGCACGCAGGCGGUGCGGCGCGUUUCGCGUGACAGCGGAGGGCUUAACUCUCCGAGGAUGCGAAAGACGGCGGCACUUGAGGGCCAGAGAGGGACACGGAAUUCCGGGUGGAGUGGUGAAAUGCGUAGAGAUCCGGAGGAACACCGAAGGCGAAGGCAGUGUCCGUGGCUGGUGACUGACGCUGAGGUGCGAAAGCUAGGGGAGCGAACGGG
rnacentral:rRNA from 1 species